GACGAACGCUGGCGGCGUGCUUAACACAUGCAAGUCGAACGGAAAGGCCCUGCUUGCAGGGUACUCGAGUGGCGAACGGGUGAGUAACACGUGGGUGAUCUGCCCUGCACUUCGGGAUAAGCCUGGGAAACUGGGUCUAAUACCGGAUAGGAGCCAUUUUUAGGGUGAUGGUUGGAAAGUUUUUUCGGUGUGGGAUGAGCUCGCGGCCUAUCAGCUUGUUGGUGGGGUAAUGGCCUACCAAGGCGGCGACGGGUAGCCGGCCUGAGAGGGUGGACGGCCACAUUGGGACUGAGAUACGGCCCAGACUCCUACGGGAGGCAGCAGUGGGGAAUAUUGCACAAUGGGCGCAAGCCUGAUGCAGCGACGCCGCGUGGGGGAUGACGGCCUUCGGGUUGUAAACUCCUUUCGCUAGGGACGAAGCUUUUUGUGACGGUACCUAGAUAAGAAGCACCGGCUAACUACGUG
rnacentral:rRNA from 1 species